UAAGGCUGAGUGGUGAAAAUUACUCGGCUGUAUCGCGAUCGAUACGCAUGGUUGACUUGUCAGUAGUUUCUGAAUGAAGGUUGAGCGGACGCAUUGUGCCGGGCCGUCAGUCGCUCUUCGGUUGUCGAGGGUAGCACAGCGAACGUUUGUAAGGUAUAUUUUACGAACGGGCACAGUACAACCAGUGCAGAGGACAGUUUCGGAUACUCGCAUGCCAUUUAUCGCAACGCGAGAGAAACAGAGCAGACCUUAGCGUUGUUAGUGGAUUACAUAUAUAUCUGAGUGGCAGUGUCGGGAGCUCUACCUCAAUUCAGCAUGGCUCGUGUAGUGUUGGGUGUGAUUACGUCGCUUCUGUUCUUGGGUCUGGUCCGGGCCCAGGGUUGUGAAAAGGAUAUAGAUAUGAGUGCCGAUGUCAUUCCCUUCGAGAAAAUGACAUAUAUGUCGGACGCUGUAGUCUCUGGCGAGGUAUUGACCAAAGAAAAUGGUCAGGCUAGCAUCAAACUGAACUGUGUAUACAAGACAGACGACAGGAGUGCAGAGCGGAUAACAGUGCGUGAAAGUAGUUGUCCCUAACUCACCCCUGGAGCCUGGGAAUGCCUACCUGCUGUUCCUGGAGGGAACGUCAAAACAAGGCUAUUCACUCCGAUACACGGCGUUCGAAGAGGAAGUAAUCUACGAAGUGGCCAGCGUAUGUGGAAUCCAACUUACCUCCUUCGCUGACGACGCUGAAGUAUGUCCCCAACCAGAGCCUCCAAGUAACUGUGUCAGGUACCCCACAACACAGAAACCCGCCCCUCCAACAUCGAAGCCAGAACCGGACGCCACUCCCGAGUCGGAACCUGGAACACAAAAACCAGGAGAUGUGGAUGUUGUUGUUGGAGGUCAAGAAGCAACACCAGAACCAGAAGGGGAUGGAACCAACGCUGCAACAACCAACUUCCUGUCAUGCGCAUUGUCAUUCUUAUCAUUUGUAAUGUCAUUGCUUAUGUUGUAAUUAUAACAAUAAUUAGAUAUUCAGGCAGAACUCUUCAAUCAUUCCUCUAUGCACGGGUGAUAUGUACAGAUAAAUACGUAUUUAGGGCAGUACGGUCACCUCCACGAGUGGUCAGUUAGACAUCAAUUAAGCUCGGACAGCAAAAUCUGUAGAACAUCAACUGGCACAUCGUCUUUGACCGCAUGCCUCUAGAUUAGGACAGAAGCAUGCUCAUCAUGUAACUGUUGAUAUAAAACCGAGGUCACUGUGACCCUAUUUCAUUGGAAUUGUGACCGUGAUGAUAGAAAACGCGUGAAAAUAUUUUUCUCUACCUAACUUUUGGCAGAAACCAAUUUUUGAUUGUUGAUUGACAUUUUAAAGUUGCGGUAUAUAGGUGCUCGGAACAGUUUGUAUUAUUAUACUGCUUUCCUAGAAAUAUCGACCUUCUCUGUUAGUUUAUUUUAUAUAACAGAGUAACAAUACACGGGGGGGGGGGGGGGGGGGGG